AAACAUAUUUUAUUGUUGAAAACAAAUGGAUUAGACACAAGUUUUCCAACUUAGUUCCGUCUUCUCCAUAAUAUACAUGAAUAUACAUUAUAUUUAUAUAGCACAUAACAUAAAUUUGUAUUUUUCUAAUAAGCAUGAAGGCAUGAAAAAUAAUUAAAUAAAUCACAACUAUUGUUAUUAUAAUAUUUAUACACAAAGAAUAAUAGAAACGGCUCAAUGGAUAUCAAACGUUCUUCUUUUAAAUAAUCAAACACACCCAAACGAUCGGUCUAAAGGGAAAACACCUACUGUUAUUAGUGUGUUUUUAAAUGACUUUCUAUAAUAUUUACCUGUAUAAGUUGUAAAAGUAACAUGCAAUAUUGUGAAUAUAUAUAAUUGUGAUACGGACAUUAAAUUCUGACGUUAAAAAUGCGGAUAAAAGGAUGACAAGAACGUAUAUUUAAUAAAACGUUACCCAGAAAAACUGAAGAGCUUCAAUGCAUUUCGUGAUUACUGAUAUGUUUAGUGGAGAGACAGACUGCAUAUAAAGUAAACCGACGAGUAUGGAACAGACCGGAUACAAAGGAAACACAAAAGAAACUAAACGUGAACCAAUUAAUAAAGACAAAGGUUACUUACAUUGCCUGGUACAAGUGGGGUUUACAUUCUCAACUAUUGCUCAUGUUUUUUUUGU